UAGGGAAUCUUCCGCAAUGGACGAAAGUCUGACGGAGCAACGCCGCGUGAGUGGUGAAGGUUUUCGGAUCGUAAAACUCUGUUGUUAGGGAAGAACAAGUACAAGAGUAACUGCCUGUACCUUGACGGUACCUAACCAGAAAGCCACGGCUAACUACGUGCCAGCAGCCGCGGUAAUACGUAGGUGGCAAGCGUUGUCCGGAAUUAUUGGGCGUAAAGCGCGCGCAGGCGGUCCUUUAAGUCUGAUGUGAAAGCCCACGGCUCAACCGUGGAGGGUCAUUGGAAACUGGGGGACUUGAGUGCAGAAGAGAAGAGUGGAAUUCCACGUGUAGCGGUGAAAUGCGUAGAGAUGUGGAGGAACACCAGUGGCGAAGGCGACUCUUUGGUCUGUAACUGACGCUGAGGCGCGAAAGCGUGGGGAGCAAACAGGAUUAGAUACCCUGGUAGUCCACGCCGUAAACGAUGAGUGCUAAGUGUUAGAGGGUUUCCGCCCUUUAGUGCUGCAGCAAACGCAUUAAGCACUCCGCCUGGGGAGUACGGCCGCAAGGCUG
rnacentral:rRNA from 1 species